rnacentral:rRNA from 1 species
UACGUAGUGUGCGAGCGUUAAUCGGAAUUACUGGGCGUAAAGCGUGCGCAGGCGGUUCUCCAAGACCGUUGUGAAAGCCCCGGGCUCAACCUGGGAAUGGCAGUGGAAACUAGGGGACUGGAAUCUGGCAGAGGGGGGUGGAAUGCCGCGUGUAGCAGUGAAAUGCGUAGAGAUGCGGCGGAACACCGAUGGCGAAGGCAGCCCCCUGGGCUGAGAUUAACGCUCAGGCACGAAAGCGUGGGGAGCAAACAGG